rnacentral:lncRNA from 1 species
CAGCCCCAUAAACCUCUCUGCUCUAGGGCUUCUCCGCCCUCCGGUGAAAGCUACUGCUCGCCCCUGCAGUCACCACCUGUUCGGGCGGAACCUGCGGAGCGUGCACCUACGCCUCGGGCUCCUUUCCUCCUCCACUCCCCUUUCCUGCUGGGCACCCUGCUUUCCCUCUCCCAGAGAGGGUUUGCAACUUUUCUCCCAGGCUGGGGCUCGCCCUGCUUGGCUAACCCCCAAGAGCCACUGCCGUCCCGCAGCGCCCCUGCCCCCGAGUUGCC